UACCAGAAGUAGAUAGCUUAACUGAAAGGGGGCGUUUACCACGGUAUGAUUCAUGACUGGGGUGAAGUCGUAACAAGGUAACCGUAGGGGAACCUGCGGUUGGAUCACCUCCUUA
rnacentral:rRNA from 1 species